rnacentral:ncRNA from 1 species
UAUUUUUAUGGAUGCUAUGACACCGGGCUGAUAUUUGGCCGCCUUCCUUUUUUACAGGAUAAGGUCCGGGUGAGCAAAUGGCGAAACCAACCGUAUCGGUU